rnacentral:lncRNA from 10 species
CAUAUACACAUUUUGGGAGUAUUUGACUAAGCAUUAACCAUUCCAGCUAAGAGAUCAGUGUUUGUCAUUCAAAAUAGCUGAGGUGGUUGGGAGAGGACAGCCAGUAUUCCCCAAACUCUUUCAUAAAGGACUAUUUACAGAGGUGUGGGAACCAACAAGAGAUGUUGCCAUGAUCAACAGCAGGCUGGAGAGGUUUAUUAGUUUCCUAGGCUGCUGUCACAAAUUGACACAGACUUAGUGACUUAAAACAACAGAAAUGUAUUCGCUUACAGCUUGGGAGACCAGAAAUCCAAGGUGAGUUUCCCUGGGUUAAAGUGAAGGUGUUGGCCCGGCUGGUUCCUUCUGGAGGCUCCGAUGGAGACUGUUCUUUGCUUUUUCAGCCUCUGGUUGCUGCUGGCAUUCCUUCGUUUGUGUUUGUGUCACUACAUUCUCUGCUUCUCUGGCACAUGGACUCUUCUUCUGCAUCCAGUUUUCCUCUGUCUUCCUCUCAUAAGCAUGCGUGUGGUAGCAUUUAGCGUCCACCCAGGCAAUCUAGAUUAAUCUCUCACCUCAAGCUCCUUAACUGAAUCACAUCUGC